UCAGUAUCAACUAUAUUUCUCAAGAGUUUCCUAGGACAUGCUGAUGAUAAAAUAAGCAUUCAGUAGUUGACCUUCAGUGAAUCAAAUGGGGUUUAGAUUGUGUUUAAUUAAUCAUGGAAUGAUAUAUUACAACAUUUUUCCCUUUUUAAAUGAAAUGUAUAUUUUUAAUUGACCUGUAAUUGACACUAAACAGUAAAUGAACAGAAAGAUGUUGUUUUGGAGAUGCAGUGAACAGUGCAGCUACUGAAGCGUUCAGCAGGUUUUUGUACGUCUGCUCUAUUAGUGUGGAUCACUGUGAUACACUUUCGGCGGCGGCACCAGACUGGAUGUUGGCAGCAACACUCCCUCCUAAAGUGACCAUCCUGCCCCCGUCCAGUGCAGAGAUCUCCUCUCUGAACACAGCGACACUGCUGUGUGUGGCCAGCGAGGGCUUGCCGUCAGACUGGAGCCUGAGCUGGAAGGUGGACGGCAGCAGCAGGGCUCAGGAGAGCAGCGCUGGGCUCCUGCAGAAGGACAAUGCUCUGUACAGCUGGAGCAGCAGCCUGACUCUCUCUGAGCAGGAGUGGAUGAAGAGCGUCUCAGUGAGCUGUGAGGCCACACGGAGCGGCCAGCCUGCAGUCACUGCACACCUGAGGAGAGAUCAGUGUUCAGAUCAGUAGAUCCGCUCAGUCUCUCCUCUGGCUUCUGCUUCAUCCUUCUGGCGGACGACGUGUCUCUUCUGCUUCUCUGACUUCAUUCACACAAGAGCAUAUAUGAUGUUCUGUUAUAACUGAAAUAAAAUCAAUAAUAUUGUGUCUGACUUUCA